GCGGGAAUGAGGGCACCUGAUCCAGCAUGCCGCGUGUGUGAAGAAGGCCUUCGGGUUGUAAAGCACUUUUGUCCGGAAAGAAAACGCUCUGGUUAAUACCUGGGGCGGAUGACGGUACCGGAAGAAUAAGCACCGGCUAACUACGUGCCAGCAGCCGCGGUAAUACGUAGGGUGCGAGCGUUAAUCGGAAUUACUGGGCGUAAAGCGUGCGCAGGCGGUUUUGUAAGACAGGCGUGAAAUCCCCGAGCUCAACUUGGGAAUUGCGCUUGUGACUGCAAGGCUAGAGUAUGUCAGAGGGGGGUAGAAUUCCACGUGUAGCAGUGAAAUGCGUAGAGAUGUGGAGGAAUACCGAUGGCGAAGGCAGCCCCCUGGGACGUCACUGACGCUCAUGCACGAAAGCGUGGGGAGCAAACAGGAUUAGAUACCCUGGUAGUCCACGCCCUAAACGAUGUCAACUAGUUGUUGGGGAUUCAUUUCUUCAGUAACGUAGCUAACGCGUGAAGUUGACCGCCUGGGGAGUACGGUCGCAAGAUUAAAACUCAAAGAAAAUUGGGACGGA
rnacentral:rRNA from 1 species